GUUGGAGACUAUGAAAAGCAAUUAUAGUUUGACUCCAUGGACGUUUCAAAUUGACCUAAAAAGGAAAAGAAGGAAAACCAUUAUGGAUCCACAUUUGAGCAUCGUUGGCAACUAUUUACGAGCACAACUUUACGUUAAAACAUGUAUUCUUGCUUUCCUGACACAUGUUUUGAGAAAGGAAGAGGUUUGUUUUGGGUAUGUGCAUUGACCAUUGUAACUUUAUAGUUUAUUUGUAAUACAUCUUGUCACAUACGGUUGUUUUCUAAAAAACACAUUUUAUGAAAGCA